UACAGAGGUGCCGAGCGUUUAGGCGGAAUCACUGGGCUUAAAGCGUGUGUAGGCGGAUGCCUAAGUACCUUGUGAAAUCCCACAGCUCAACUGUGGAACUGCUUGGUAUACUGGGUGUCUUGAGCCACUUAGGGGUUACCGGAACAAAUGGUGGAGCGGUGAAAUGCGUAGAUAUCAUUUGGAACGCCAAUGGUGAAAACAGGUAACUGGGAGUGUGCUGACGCUGAGACACGAAAGCCAGGGGAGCGAACGGG
rnacentral:rRNA from 1 species